UUUAUCUGUUUCGAUCGUGGUCUCUCAUUUCAAAUCACAAAACAGCUGCUCCUCCGCUCAUCGCUCACCCCCCUCGAAAGUGAAUGAACGUAGACUGGAAAUUGGACACAAACUGGCAAUAGAUUAAGCGAGAGCUGAUGCAUAACACAGACGUGAUAGGACGUAGACAGAAGCAAAGUUUUCAAAUGCUGCAGGAGACUAAAUCCUUUCGAGUCCUCAUUUAUUCGGAGCUCUCUACUUCACCUCGAGACGAUAAGUCCAUCAAGUGAUCAGAGCAGUUACACAAUUCCUCUUCUCUCGUUACAGCUUGAUUUGAGAGACAGCGACAAGUACCCUUGCUUCCACCCGCUGAGGUCAUGAUCAGAUAGGAAUGUCCGAUACACAAUUUACAAAGGGGCGUAGUUUUUUGAACGGCAGAUUUCGACUUCAAGGAAACCGGCAAUUCUUCACAAAUUCUUGUCAUGAUCUCUUUUCUACAUGUUGUGAACUAAGAAGGGUUUAUUCUGUUAUUGAAACAGUUCAAAAGGCUAGAUCCAGUAACAUAUGGAGCUAAACGGCGUGUGCGUGCUUAAGAUAAGGAAAAAGUAUGAAGAUCUUUACGGACUUAUCUUCCCUUCUAUCGACAGCUCUUGCAGCAUAAUGGCUUAUCCGGGCUUAUCUAUUCCAAACAAGCAACGUUCUCCUUUAAACUAUCAUUUUCAAUCGUAAAUAGAGAUUUAAAAAAGGUUCAGAAUUUGAGCAAGAACAACACUCUAUCUAAAGUAAAGCAUAACAUAUGUAUUUGAAGGAUAUAGUGAUGGCGGAAACGUUAUCCACCUUUUAAAAAGUACAAAACAACCAGACUUAUCAGUUUUGAAUAUAAGAAUGGCCAGCCUUCAUCUCAAUCGGCCAACGUAACUAACAUACCCUAACUACAGCCAUGACACUAUUACUCAUACUGCUAAAUGCUUUAUCCGGUCUUUUUAUCUACUCCAAACAAACAACAGUUUUACAACUACGCCCUUUUUCAUUAGGUAACAAGAAUCCUUUAUUGUAAGACGAAAUUAAGGACAAUUGGUAUCUGUUAUACAUCACUAUAUUGAGUAUACUUGACCAUAAAAUCAACUACAACUGAUUCCUCCAAAGACAAACCUUAUCUGUGUCUUAGGAAAGAUAUCAUAAAGCUAGCAUACACGUCAAAACAAAACAACUAGAUUUAUCUCAAGAAAAAGAAUGGCGGCUUUUUUCUAACCUUUGCCUUAACUAACUUAUCCAAACUAUCUACGUGAACGUCACAACCUACUACCUUUGCAUGUCGUGAUGCGUGACGUAAAUGUCAUGGUCUUAAUCGCAGCCAGAAAAACUCUACAAAUUUUUCACAUUCCGUCAUCGUUUGCAUCAACAAAACAAUUGUUCAAGCUCUAGAUUUUCAAAUGCAAAACAAAACCUUCGUUGAAUCUAGCUAUUUUCGCCUACAAAUAAACCAGUUGAAUCUCAAAAGACUGGACUAAUUGUUAAGUAGCACUCAAAUACAAAACAAUCGCCACUCACUUAGCCGAGUGGUUGUGGUCUACGAUAUCCUUUUUCACUAACGUUACUUGGUUAAAUUAUUAUAAAAAUUGAGACUUGUAAAAAUCAGAUGUAUAUACGAUCUAUGAAAUCCUAGCUUUCAAGAAUGUUAUGUUUACCAUGGGGAUCUUUCGACCGCCUAUUCAGUCAAGAACAACUGGUUGACGCUGUCGAUGUGCUAACAUAAGGCUACUUCGAUAUAUUAAGGAAAGUGUCCGAUUAAGCGGAGAUACUCCAAUUGUAAAAAUUUUCACGGUCCACCGCUGUCGCAUCACAAUACAGAUAAGCGUGGUGCAUUUCUUUCAUGAGUAGCCGAACCGUGCUCGGCCUUUCUUCACCUGACGGGAUCUUUGUACAUUGCUGAGCCUGCCUCCUUUGGGUGCUGGGCUACGAGAGACCACUUUCACUUCUUCAAGAGACUGCAAAGUAAUAAUAAUAA